UGGGGAAUCUUCCGCAAUGGACGAAAGUCUGACGGAGCAACGCCGCGUGAGUGAAGAAGGCCUUCGGGUCGUAAAGCUCUGUUAUUAGGGACGAACGUCUAUUAUGUAAAUAAUGUAGUAGAGUGACGGUACCUAAGGAGGAAGCCACGGCUAACUACGUGCCAGCAGCCGCGGUAAUACGUAGGUGGCAAGAGUUGUCCGGAAUUAUUGGGCGUAAAGCGCGCGCCGGUGGGGUAGUAAGUCUUUUGUAAAAGGGCGGGGCUCAACCCCGUAAAGCGAUCGAUACUGCUAGUCUUGAGUGCAGGAGAGGAAAGCGGAAUUCCCAGUGUAGCGGUGAAAUGCGUAGAUAUUGGGAGGAACACCAGUGGCGAAGGCGGCUUUCUGGACUGUGUCUGACACUGAGGCGCGAAAGCCAGGGGAGCGAACG
rnacentral:rRNA from 1 species